GUGAGCGCUGGCGGUAGGCCUAACACCUGCAAGUCGAACGGCAGCACAGUAAGAGCUUGCUCUUACGGGUGGCGAGUGGCGGACGGGUGCGGAAUACAUCGGAAUCUACUUUUUUGUGGGGGAUAACGUAGGGAAACUUACGCUACUACCGCAUACGACCUACGGGUGAAAGCAGGGGAUCUUCGGACCUUGCGCGAUUGAAUGAGCCGAUGUCGGAUUAGCUAGUUGGCGGGGUAAAGGCCCACCAAGGCGACGAUCCGUAGCUGGUCUGAGAGGAUGAUCAGCCACACUGGAACUGAGACACGGUCCAGACUCCUACGGGAGGCAGCAGUGGGGAAUAUUGGACAAUGGGCGCAAGCCUGAUCCAGCCAUACCGCGUGGGUGAAGAAGGCCUUCGGGUUGUAAAGCCCUUUUGUUGGGAAAGAAAAGCAGCAGGUUAAUACCCCGCUGUUCUGACGGUACCCAAAGAAUAAGCACCGGCUAACUUCGUG
rnacentral:rRNA from 1 species